GUAGGUGGCAAGCGUUGUCCGGAAUUAUUGGGCGUAAAGCGCGCGCAGGCGGUUCUUUAAGUCUGAUGUGAAAGCCCACGGCUCAACCGUGGAGGGUCAUUGGAAACUGGAGAACUUGAGUACAGAAGAGGAAAGCGGAAUUCCACGUGUAGCGGUGAAAUGCGUAGAGAUGUGGAGGAACACCAGUGGCGAAGGCGGCUUUCUGGUCUGUAACUGACGCUGAGGCGCGAAAGCGUGGGGAGCAAACAGGAUUAGAUACCCUGGUAGUCCACGCCGUAAACGAUGAGUGCUAAGUGUUAGGGGGGUUUUCCGGCCCCCCUUAGUGCUGCAGCUAACGCAUUAAGCACUCCGCCUGGGAGUACGGCCGCAAGGCUG
rnacentral:rRNA from 1 species